rnacentral:lncRNA from 1 species
GAAAGAAAUAGACAAAAAACACAUGAUAGACAUUCACAGACUUGAUUUGAAAAAUUACGAAGGGCAGCCCGGUGCAUGUAGCUCCCGCUUGCGCAGGGUCCGGGGAAGGGUCCGACCACUUUGGGUCUUUUGUACGCAGCCUUUCCCUGCAUUUCUGCAAGAGGCUGUUUCCAGGACUCGAACCCGUGACCUCAUGGUCACAAGGCAACAGCUGUACCGCUGCGCCAAGGCUCCCCUUCCGAUUUGAAAAAUUACGAAGACAACCAGAAAACAUAUUUGCAAUUAAGUAAUGAUGUAUGUCAGUGUUAAUUGCUUAAUCUGAAAGACGUGAAAGUUGAACCGACAGGGGAUAUGAUAUCCUUGAGAGGGGCUAGAACAUAACCGGGAUCUGUUUGUAGGGUACGUGUCAAGUACUGUUUUCAGAAAGUAAUAUUAUACGAAUGAAUGAAUACGUGUCAUAUACACUGACAAAUACAUGACUCCGCGACGCAUGUUGCUUUGUCGUCUCGGGAGCGCCCGGACGACUCGGUGUAGUCCGGCCCAUUCUAAAAUCUGAAUGGGCUUGCAAAGCCCGUAAGCUAUCUGCACUGCACAAACACCAAUUUGAACUACUCUAAAAAAACACCAAUUUGAACUUGGGUUGAGGAUCCUCUGGAAUAAAAAAAAAACUGUACCCUAAACAACUGGAUUCGAUGUGACCGAUCAUACGGAUUUUGAGUGUCUGUUCUCGCAUAUCCGUUCAUAUGGAUCUGAUGAGUUUUUGUCAGUGUGUUAUGAUGCGUUUGUUGGUCUGAUUUUGUGUGACUUUGGAGUCAUUCUCUAAUGUUCUUA